GUAACGUUUGAUCCUCAGAGGGUUUCUGCAGACAUGGAGCUUCUACCACUUCUGUUUCUGAGCUUCUGUUUCCUGACUUUGUCCGGACCGACGUUUGGUGCUGAAUCCGUGACAUCUGUGAUUGUGAAAGAAGAUGAUGAUGCCAUUUUGCCCUGUUCCUCGGCACCAAUGAGAACAUUGAGUCAAUGGUGUUUGACUGGAAGAAGGAAGAAACAGUCCAGGUGUUCGUGUAUAAUAAGGGUGCCCAUUACAAUGAUCAAAAUGAGCAGUUCAAAAGUCGAGUCACACAUUUUCCAGAAGAGCUGAAGCACGGCAAUGCCUCCAUAAGAAUAAAAGAAACUAAGCGGGAGGACAAAGGAAACUACACCUGUUUUUUUCCAAACCGCAGUAAGACAUUCAAAGUUGAGCUUGUUGUUGUUUUUACAUGUAAAUUUGGGUCGCAUAAAACCUCUGCGUUUUAAAAGGUUAAAGGACAGAACAAAGGAAAACAUCCCAGGUGCAGCUCCAAAGCCAUAUGUCAAAUUGCUUAAGGAAAAAGGUUUGCUGGAGUGUGAAGUUCCAGGGGCUUAUCCUAAACCUACAGUAGAGUGGCAGGACAGCGAUAACAAAACACUUUUUUUCUAAGACGUUGCAAGACAUAGAAGAUAAAAAUCGCUUUUACAUCACCAUCCAAACUAGUGUGACUAAGCCCGGCUGCUACCGCUGUGUAGCAACACAGAUGGCCAUAUGGCAUCAGAUUCCUUCAGAGACCUGUGUCCCUGAUGGUGAGUGGAAUUUUAUUCAUCACAUAACUCUGCUUUAUCUUUAUUUUAAUAUUAAUGGAAUAAUAGUUUAUAAAAUAAACGUAGUGUUGUGUUAAAUGGCUAGAAAUAAUCAAUUUAGCUUAUAAUGUUAUCAGUAUAGUAAAGAGCUUGAAAGGAAAGGCGUAAACCUGCUUUAAGUCUCAUACAGGCGUCUCACCUUUCAUCUGAGAAGCUACUUUAGUGCACCCUGGUUUAUUAACUUUACAGAAUAUAAUGCUUUAGAACGAUACAGUCCCAAUCAAAAGUUUAAGACCACUUGAAAAAUGGCUAGAAAUCAUAUUUUGCAUGGCUGGAGCUUAACAAGGUGAAGUUCCAUUGUUUCACCGAAGGAAAAGACACCCCAGACCACUAUGGUGCCCCCUCCACAUCUCAGGUGGGAUCUGCUUGUUUUGCCAGUAACAUUGGAAACCAUCAGGACCGUUAAGGUUUAAAUUUUUUUCUCAUCAGAGAAUAAAACUUUCUUCCACCUUUCAAUUUCCCAUGUGUGGUGCUCUCUUGCAAAGUCCAAACAGUACUGUGGCUUUCAAGGAGACAAUGCCUUUGAAGACUUUUUGUUUUGUUUUUGAAGCCCUUCAGUCUCGGAUGCCAUCUGAUGGUUUGGGCUGCAGUCAGCACCUGUAACGACCUUAAUUUGGGUCGAGGAUCGUCCAGUGUCUUAACGGACAGCUAGCUGGAUGCUCCGGCUCAGUGCUGGUGAAAUUUUGGGGGGUCUUCCACUUGACUUUUUUGUUCCAAAGCCCUCAGGAUCACACCACGUUCAAAAAGGGAAAGUUUUUUUGCCUUUGCCAUCAGAAAGUCAUGACAGUAUGACUACUUGACAGACAAUGACAAUGAAUACAAAUUUGGCCUUUUAAAGGCAUGUGACCUAAACUUUUGAUCAGCUGUAAAACAGCCUGUUUGAGUUUAAACAUUGUUUUCAAUAAAUUGCAUGCUCAAAAAUUUUUUUUGUCUCACUCACAUUUCUUUCUGUUGCAUGUUGAAGUUCCCCUUGGAACGUUGUUAAGAUCCAACCAUGCAAAAUAGGAUUCUUUGAUAUUUUUUCAGAUUUUUCAGAUGUUUGAUAUUUUAUCAGUAGUAGACAGCUGUCACAAUUCUGAUAAGAACAAGUGGAAGAGGAUUACUAGAGUGAAAAAUGCGCAUGACAAGUUUUAUGUUAACCACUAAAUAGUUCUUUUUUGAAAGAAAAGUAAGUAUAUGCUCAUAGAGUGGAGGGUAUAAAAUAUAAAAACAAUUUAUCAAAAAUGAAAUUUUUGUCUUCUUUUGUCUGAGAUUUAAAAGUUCAUGUGUAACGUAAAACUAUGCAUACAGAUCCAUACCCUUCGGUCAAUGAAAGAAAAACUCACAAUGAUCACAGAAAUAACUU
ensembl:lncRNA